rnacentral:rRNA from 1 species
AUUGAACGCUGUCGGCAGGCCUAACACAUGCAAGUCGAACGAGUGGCGGACGGGUGUGUAAUGCUUGGGAAUCUAGCUUAUGGAGGGGGAUAACUACGGGAAACUGUAUCUAAUACCGCGUACCAUAGGAUGAGCCCAAGUGGGAUUCGGUAGUUGGUGAGGUAAAGGCUCACCAAGCCGACGAUCUCUAGCUGGUCUGAGAGGAUGACCAGCCGAACAGGAACUGUGACACGGUCCAGACUCCUACGGGAGGCAGCAGUGGGGAAUAUUGCACAAUGGGCGCAAUCCUGAUGCAGCCAUGCCGCGUGUAUGAAGAAGGCCUUAGGUUUGUAAAGUACUUUCAGCGGGGAGGCGUUACCCACAGAAGAAGCACCGGCUAACUCCGUGCCAGCAGCCGCGGUAAUUC